UACCGGAAUUAUGGGGCGUAAAGCGCGCGUAGGCGGUUUUUUAAGUAUGAUGUGAAAUCCCAGGCUCAACCGUGGAGGGUCAUUGGAAACUGGAAAACUUGAGUGCAGAAGAGGAAAGUGGAUUCCAUGUGUAGCGGUGAAAUGCGCAGAGAUAUGGAGGAACACCAGUGGCGAAGGCGACUUUCUGGUCUGUAACUGACGCUGAUGUGCGAAAGCGUGGGGAUCAAACAGGAUUAGAUACCUGGUAGUCCACGCCGUAAACGAUGAGUGCUAAGUGUUAGGGGGUUUCCGCCCCUUAGUGCGCAGCUAACGCAUUAAGCACUCCGCCUGGGGAGUACGACCGCAAGGUUGAAACUCAAAGGAUUGACGGGGACCCGCACAAGCGGUGGAGCAUGUGGUUUAAUUCGAAGCAACGCGAAGAACUUACCAAAUCUUGACAUCCUUUGACCGCUCUAGAGAUAGAGUUUUCCCCUUCGGGGGACAAGUGACAGGUGGUGCAUGGUUGUCGUCAGCUCGUGUCGUGAGAUGUUGGGUUAAGUCCCCAACGAGCGCAACCCUUAAACUUAGUUGCCAGCAUUCAGUUGGGCACUCUAAGUUGACUGCGGUGACAAACCGGAGGAAGGUGGGGAUGACGUCAAAUCAUCAUGCCCCUUAUGAUUUGGCUACACACGUGCUACAAUGGACAAUACAAAGGGCAGCGAAACCGCGAGGUCAAGCAAAUCCAUAAAGUUGUUCUCAGUUCGGAUUGUAGUCUGCAACUCGACUACAUGAAGCUGGAAUCGUAGUAAUCGUAGAUCAGCAUGCUACGGUGAAUACGUUCCCGGGUCUUGUACACACCGCCCU
rnacentral:rRNA from 1 species